rnacentral:rRNA from 1 species
GACGAACGCUGGCGGCGUGCUUAACACAUGCAAGUCGAACGGAAAGGCUCCAGCUUGCUGGGGUACACGAGUGGCGAACGGGUGAGUAACACGUGGGUGACCUGCCCUUCACUUCGGGAUAAGCCUGGGAAACUGGGUCUAAUACCGGAUAGGACCAUGUGCUGGAUAGUGUGGUGGAAAGUUUUUUGGGUGUGGGAUGGGCCCUCGGCCUAUCAGCUUGUUGGUGGGGUAUUGGCCUACCAAGGCGGCGACGGGUAGCCGGCCUGAGAGGGUGGCCGGCCACAUUGGGACUGAGACACGGCCCAGACUCCUACGGGAGGCAGCAGUGGGGAAUAUUGCACAAUGGGCGGAAGCCUGAUGCAGCGACGCCGCGUGGGGGAUGACGGCCUUCGGGUUGUAAACUCCUUUCGCCAGCGACGAAGGGUUUCUGACGGUAGAUGGAGAAGAAGCACCGGCUAACUACGUG